UACGUAGGAUCCAAGCGUUAUCCGGAAUUACUGGGCGUAAAGCGUCUGUAGGCGGCUUUUCAAGUCAGCUGCGAAAUCUUGCGGCUCAACCGUAUAGAUGUUAGCUGAAACUGAUUGGCUAGAGGUAGGUAGAGGCAAGUGGAACUUGCGGUGUAGGAGUGACAUCCGUAGAUAUCGCAAAGAACACCAAUGGCGAAGGCAGCUUGCUGGGCCUUACCUGACGCUCAGAGACGAAAGCGUGGGGAGCGAACGGG
rnacentral:rRNA from 1 species